UGUGAGACAGAAAGACGAGAAAAAAGUGUGCAAGUUUAAUAAACAAAUGGUUUAUCAUAAUUAUUCCUUUUGCAUCUUUUUUCAUUUUGGUAUUUCUUUUU
rnacentral:ribozyme from 13 species